GACGAACGCUGGCGGCGUGCUUAACACAUGCAAGUCGAGCGGUAAGGCCCUUUCGGGGGUACACGAGCGGCGAACGGGUGAGUAACACGUGGGUGACCUGCCCUCAGCUCUGGGAUAAGCCUGGGAAACCGGGUCUAAUACCGGAUAUGACUCCAUGACGCAUGUUGUGGGCGGAAAGCCUUGUGCGGCUGAGGAUGGCCCGCGGCCUAUCAGCUUGUUGGUGGGGUGAUGGCCUACCAAGGCGACGACGGGUAGCCGGCCUGAGAGGGCGACCGGCCACACUGGGACUGAGAC
rnacentral:rRNA from 1 species